rnacentral:rRNA from 1 species
UGGUGGAGUGAUUUGUCUGGUUAAUUCCGAUAACGAACGAGACCUUAACCUGCUAAAUAGUUGCGUCAACUUUGGUUGAUAGUAACUUCUUAGAGGGACAAACCAUGUUUAAUGGUUGGAAGUUUGAGGCAAUAACA